rnacentral:rRNA from 1 species
UGGGGAAUAUUGGACAAUGGGGGCAACCCUGAUCCAGCCAUGCCGCGUGCGUGAAGAAGGCCUUAGGGUUGUAAAGCGCUUUCGGCGGGGAAGAUGAUGACGGUACCCGCAAAAGAAGCCCCGGCUAACUCCGUGCCAGCAGCCGCGGUAAUACGGAGGGGGCUAGCGUUGUUCGGAAUUACUGGGCGUAAAGGGCGCGUAGGCGGGCGACUAAGUCAGAGGUGAAAGGCCUGGGCUCAACCUGGGAACUGCCUUUGAAACUAGUUGUCUAGAGUCCGGAAGAGGAUGGCGGAAUUCCCAGUGUAGAGGUGAAAUUCGUAGAUAUUGGGAAGAACACCAGUGGCGAAGGCGGCCAUCUGGUCCGGUACUGACGCUGAGGCGCGAAAGCGUGGGGAGCAAACAGGAUUAGAUACCCUGGUAGUCCACGCCGUAAACGAUGUGUGCUAGCCGUUGGGAAACCUAGUUUCUCGGUGGCGCAGCUAACGCGAUAAGCACACCGCCUGGGGAGUACGGUCGCAAGAUUA